AUUGAUUUUAUGCUUGCAUAAAUGAUUUUUGGAUUCGGAGCGAGUGGCGAACUGGUGAGUAACACGUGGGUAACCUGCCCCGAAGCGGGGGAUAACAUUUGGAAACAAGUGCUAAUACCGCAUAACUAGUUGGAACCGCAUGGUUCCAACUUGAAAGAUGGCUCUGCUAUCACUUUGGGAUGGACCCGCGCCGUAUUAGUUAGUUGGUGAGAUAAAAGCCCACCAAGACGAUGAUACGUAGCCGACCUGAGAGGGUAAUCGGCCACAUUGGGACUGAGACACGGCCCAGACUCCUACGGGAGGCAGCAGUAGGGAAUCUUCCACAAUGGACGAAAGUCUGAUGGAGCAACGCCGCGUGAGUGAUGAAGGUUUUCGGAUCGUAAAACUCUGUUGUUAAAGAAGAACAAGUGUUAGAGUAACUGUUAACACUUUGACGGUAUUUAACCAGAAAGCCACGGCUAACUACGUGCCAGCAGCCGCGGUAAUACGUAGGUGGCAAGCGUUGUCCGGAUUUAUUGGGCGUAAAGCGAGCGCAGGCGGUUUUGUAAGUCUGCUGUGAAAGCCCUCAGCUCAACUGAGGAAGUGCAGUGGAAACUACAAAACUUGAGUACAGAAGAGGAAAGUGGAACUCCAUGUGUAGCGGUGAAAUGCGUAGAUAUAUGGAAGAACACCAGUGGCGAAGGCGGCUUUCUGGUCUGUUACUGACGCUGAGGCUCGAAAGCAUGGGUAGCGAACAGGAUUAGAUACCCUGGUAGUCCAUGCCGUAAACGAUGAAUACUAGGUGUUGGAGGGUUUCCGCCCUUCAGUGCCGCAGCUAACGCAUUAAGUAUUCCGCCUGGGGAGUACGACCGCAAGGUUGAAACUCAAAGGAAUUGACGGGGGCCCGCACAAGUGGUGGAGCAUGUGGUUUAAUUCGAUGCUACGCGAAGAACCUUACCAGCUCUUGACAUCUUCUGCCAACCCAAGAGAUUGGGCGUUCCCUUCGGGGACAGAAUGACAGGUGGUGCAUGGUUGUCGUCAGCUCGUGUCGUGAGAUGUUGGGUUAAGUCCCGCAACGAGCGCAACCCUUAUUAUUAGUUGCCAGCAUUUAGUUGGGCACUCCAGUGAGACUGCCGGUGAUAAA
rnacentral:rRNA from 1 species